rnacentral:rRNA from 1 species
GUAGGGAAUAUUGCGCAAUGGGGGAAACCCUGACGCAGCGACGCCGCGUGAGUGAUGAAGGCCUUCGGGUCGUAAAGCUCUGUUGCAGGGGAAUAAAAAAAUGAAGGUACCCUGUGAGGAAGGAUCGGCUAACUUCGUGCCAGCAGCCGCGGUAAGACGAGGGAUCCUAGCGUUGCUCGGAAUCAUUGGGCGUAAAGAGGGCGUAGGUGGCUUGGUAAGUCAGGUGUGAAAGCCCAGGGCUCAACCCUGGAAGUGCAUUUGAUACUGCUGAGCUUGAGUGUCGGAGAGGUUACCGGAAUACCUGGUGUAGUGGUGAAAUACGUAGAUAUCAGGUGGAACACCGGAGGCGAAGGCGGGUAACUGGCCGAACACUGACACUGAGAUCCGAAAGCGUGGGGAUCAAACAGGAUUAGAUACCCUGGUAGUCC